CUGCUUGCAUUUCAAAAACUCUUAUAAUAUAAUUAACGCGUCUUCGGACUAUAAGGAUAAACCUUGUAUAGAAUAGGCACAUUGGACGAGGGUGCAAAUCCCUCUACCUCCACCACCAGCUUAAGCUAAAGCAAGAUAAAAUUCUAUAUUGUGAAAUUUUUCGGCAAAACAGUUUAGAUGUUUUAUUUUUAAAAUUUUUUACGAUGGCGUGUACACAAAAGUACAUAACUGAGUAAAAAUAUUUUUCAAAAAUGAAACAGGUAAAUUGUUUUCACGGGAAAUUUGGGGGUAAAUAGAAUCGACAAGUGCAAUAAAGGUACAAACUUCCUUCGGGGCGAUUUCCGUAAAAAAUCAUAAAUAUGAAUGCAAAUGAUAAUUCAUAUCUUGCAAUGGCUGCUUAACCGUGGCUUUGCUAAAAUAAAUCCUUGAAGGACUAGAUACCUUCAAGUGUGGCCUGGGCUUGCCAAGCAACAGAAAAGCCCUUUU
rnacentral:tmRNA from 1 species